rnacentral:rRNA from 1 species
UGGGGAAUAUUGGACAAUGGGCGAAAGCCUGAUCCAGCCAUGCCGCGUGUGUGAAGAAGGUCUUCGGAUUGUAAAGCACUUUAAGUUGGGAGGAAGGGCAUUAACCUAAUACGUUAGUGUUUUGACGUUACCGACAGAAUAAGCACCGGCUAACUCUGUGCCAGCAGCCGCGGUAAUACAGAGGGUGCAAGCGUUAAUCGGAAUUACUGGGCGUAAAGCGCGCGUAUGUGGUUUGUUAAGUUGGGUGUGAAAUCCCCGGGCUCAACCUUGGAACUGCAUUCAAAACUGACUGACUAGAGUAUGGUAGAGGGUGGUGGAAUUUCCUGUGUAGCGGUGAAAUGCGUAGAUAUAGGAAGGAACACCAGUGGCGAAGGCGACCACCUGGACUAAUACUGACACUGAGGUGCGAAAGCGUGGGGAGCAAACA